UACGAAGGGGGCUAGCGUUGUUCGGAAUUACUGGGCGUAAAGCGUGCGCAGGCGGCCAUUUAAGUCAGGGGUGAAAGCCUGGGGCUCAACCGCAGAACUGCCCUUGAGACUGGAUGGCUGGAGUGCGGGAGAGGUGAGUGGAAUUCCCAGUGUAGAGGUGAAAUUCGUAGAUAUUGGGAAGAACACCCGUGGCGAAGGCGGCUCACUGGCCCGUAACUGACGCUCAGGCACGAUAGCGUGGGGAGCAAACAGG
rnacentral:rRNA from 1 species